GCUGCCCCCUUGCCUUUUUUUUUUAACCUGUAUCUUCAGAGAAGAUUAGCAUGGCCCCUGCACAAGGAUGACAAGCAAAUUCGUGAAGUGUUCCAUAUUUUU